rnacentral:SRP_RNA from 1 species
GCCAGGUGUGGUGGUGUGCACCUGUAAUCCCAGCUACUCAGGAGGCUGAGGCAGGAGAAUCACUUGAACCUGGGAGGUGGAGUUUGCAGUGAGCAGAGAUAACGCCACUGAACUCCAGCCUGGGCAACAGAGUGAGACUCUGUCUCAA